UACGGAGGGAGCUAGCGUUAUUCGGAAUUACUGGGCGUAAAGCGCACGUAGGCGGCUUUGUAAGUAAGAGGUGAAAGCCCAGAGCUCAACUUUGGAAUUGCCUUUUAGACUGCAUCGCUUGAAUCAUGGAGAGGUCAGUGGAAUUCCGAGUGUAGAGGUGAAAUUCGUAGAUAUUCGGAAGAACACCAGUGGCGAAGGCGGCUGACUGGACAUGUAUUGACGCUGAGGUGCGAAAGCGUGGGGAGCGAACAGG
rnacentral:rRNA from 1 species